rnacentral:rRNA from 1 species
AUGCACGAAAGUGUGAUAGGGGGAUACUCAGUGCUUACGCUUAUGGUGUAGGCUUUUGUCGAUCGUAAAUAGAUCGGCGAAUAAGUGGUGGGCAAGACCGGUGCCAGCCGCCGCGGUAACCCCGGCGCCACAAGUGGUCAUCGCGAUUAUUGGGCCUAAAGCGUUCGUAGCCGGUCUGGUGAAUCUCUUGUGAAAUUGUUCGGCUUAACCGGACAGCGUGCAGGAGACACUGCCAGACUCGAGACCGGGAGGCGUAAGAAGUAUUCCAUGGGGACUGGUAAAAUGGGAUAAUCCAUGGAAGACUACCGAUGGCGAAGGCAUCUUACGAGAACGGAUCUGACGGUGAGGAACGAAAGCCAGGGGAGCGAACCGGAUUAGAUACCCGCGUAGUCC